rnacentral:rRNA from 1 species
AAACCAAGAAGAUUAAGUCAUGCAUUUUCGGUGAAAAGACAGUUAAGUAGUAUAAAAGCUUUUUAAAUUGUUAUUAAGAAGUAAAAUUCGCAAAUAAUCUAGAAACUUAAUUAAAGCUAAAAAACUGAAGCUGUGACACCCUCGAGGGAAACUGGGAUUAGAUACCCCAUUAUUCUUGGAUAUAAAAAGAUAUAAGUUUACCAGAGUACUAUGAAUUGAUAACAUUUAAAACUCAAAGAGCUUGGCGGUGUUUUAGACUCUUUAGGGGAACCUGUCUCAUAAUCGACAAUCCACGUUAAACCUGACCUUUAUUUGCAUUCAGUUUGUAUACCGUCGUCGUCAGGUAACUUUUUAGAAAAAAGGAGUUAGCAAUUGAGUUAACGAUAAACUCUCACGUCAGAUCAAGGUGCAGCCGACAUAAAGGGGAGGAUGGGUUACAAUUAUAAGAAUUAUAACUACGGAAUAACAACUUUAAAUAGAAGUUAUGAAGGAGGACUUAAAAGUAAAAUAAAAUAGUUAAAUAUAUUGAAUCGAGCUCUGAAACGUGC